UCCUGCCAACAGUGUCGGAAUUCGAAUCCGGAAGCGCCUACGCGAAGCUCAAGUUGCGAAGAGUCCAGAAGUACAAGAGUUUUGGCCGGAAAGUGGCCGGAAGGCGGCGGAUCGGGGCCGGAAAGUCGCUGCUCACGCGACACUUCCCAUGGCUGCCGGCAAGGAUUUUCCGACGAAGGAGGGUGGCUUCCGGGGUUUUCGGGGGUGGGGAGUCCGAU
rnacentral:lncRNA from 1 species